GCCUGCGUGGCCUAAUGGAUAAGGCGUCUGACUUCUAAUCAGGAGAUUGUCGGUUCGACCCCGGCCAUGCGCC
rnacentral:tRNA from 1 species